rnacentral:lncRNA from 1 species
UUAAGGAUGUUUGUAUAUUGGGCUCUGGGUUUGAUCUUAUCAAAUCUGAUUUAGAUUUAGUCACUGGUGUCAGUUCUUUUACCUAUCAAACUUCAUCAAGCUUAACUUUAGAGGCACUUAUUUCUUCACUAAAAAUUUUUUUUUUUCAAAAAUUAUGUCUUACUGCUGACAAAUACCUUUCAUUCAGCAGGGAGGUAAAAGUAAUAACUCUUUAUUUCCUUGGGGUACCCAAUGAAAUUACACUUAUCGAACCUAAGUCUGAGCUUGUUGGUUUGUAAUCGUUUAACAUAAGCCAGACACUUCCAGAC